rnacentral:rRNA from 1 species
AUACGUAGGUGGCAAGCGUUGUCCGGAAUUAUUGGGCGUAAAGCGCAUGUAGGCGGUUUGGUAAGUCGGUCGUGAAAAUGCGGUACUUAACGCCGUAUGGUGAUUGAAACUGCUGAACUUGAGUGCAGGAGAGGAAAGGGGAACUCCCAGUGUAGCGGUGAAAUGCGUAGAUAUUGGGAAGAACACCGGUGGCGAAGGCGCCUUUCUGGACUGUGUCUGACGCUCAGAUGCGAAAGCCAGGGUAGCGAACGGGAUUAGAUACCCCGGUAGUCCUGGCCGUAAACGAUGGGUACUAGGUGUGGGAGGUAUCGACUCCUUCCGUGCCGGAGUUAACGCAAUAAGUACCCCGCCUGGGGAGUACGGCCGCAAGGCUUAAACUCAAAUGAAUUGACGGGG